GCUAGUGUAGUGUAGUGGUUUGAGUUUUGGACUACAACUCUGGGGACCAGGGUUCAAUUCACUACUUGAGUA